ensembl:snoRNA snoRNA:Irbp-a
UUUAAUGUGCGAAGUCUGUUCCCCUGUUUGGCGUUCAAUUUUCGCCUGAAAGGUUUUAAGACUUCGUAGAUCAAAUAUAAGCAAUCAUUCACCCGCAUCCAAGUGAAGCUCAAUUGGUUCGUGGUUUUGGAUUGGCUUACAAGAAUAAUA